rnacentral:snoRNA from 1 species
UGCCUUUGUGUUGCCCAUUCAUUCCUGGCCAGAAUGAAUGUGGUGUCAAAGAAGGCAAACAGGAAUUCUUGCUCAGACUAUUGAAGGAGCUGGUUAUUUACCUUUCUCCUCCCUGUUUUUGCAAGGACAACA